rnacentral:rRNA from 1 species
GAUGAACGCUGGCGGCGUGCCUAAUACAUGCAAGUCGAGCGAACAGACGAGGAGCUUGCUCCUCUGACGUUAGCGGCGGACGGGUGAGUAACACGUGGAUAACCUACCUAUAAGACUGGGAUAACUUCGGGAAACCGGAGCUAAUACCGGAUAAUAUAUUGAACCGCAGGGUUCAAUAGUGAAAGACGGCUUUGCUGUCACUUAUAGAUGGCUCCGCGCCGCAUUAGCUAGUUGGUAAGGUAACGGCUUACCAAGGCAACGAUGCGUAGCCGACCUGAGAGGGGUAUCGGCCACUCUGGCACUGACACCCGGCCCAGGCCUCUGCGAGGGGCAACAGUAGGAAAUCUGCCGCAAGGGGCGAACGUCUGACGGAGCAACGCCGCGUGAGAGAGAAAGGUCUUGGGAUCGAAAACCUCUUUUAGGGGGUAAAAAGAAAUGGGUAAGUAACUAGGCGCGUUUACGGGGUCCCUAAUAAAAGAGCCGGGGAAAUCUGCG